UUUGAACAUAUGACUUCAGUGGCGGACUGGUGAGUAACGCGUGAGCAACCUGCCUUUUAGAGGGGAAUACCAGUGAGAAAUCACUGCUAAUACCGCAUAUGCUCAAGCAUCACAUGAUGCAAUGAGGAAAGGAGUAAUCCGCUAAAAGAUGGGCUCGCGUCUGAUUAGAUAGUUGGUAAGAUAACAGCCUACCAAGUCGACGAUCAGUAGCCGGACUGAGAGGUUAAACGGCCACAUUGGGACUGAGAUACGGCCCAGACUCCUACGGGAGGCAGCAGUCGGGAAUAUUGCACAAUGGAGGAAACUCUGAUGCAGUGACGCCGCGUAUAGGACGAAGGUCUUCGGAUUGUAAACUAUUGUCGUUAGGGAAGAUACAAGACAGUACCUAAGGAGGAAGCUCUGGCUAACUACGUGCCAGCAGCCGCGGUAAUACGUAGAGAGCAAGCGUUAUCCGGAUUUAUUGGGUGUAAAGGGUGCGUAGAUGGGAGAAUAAGUUAGUUGUGAAAUCCCUCGGCUCAACUGAGGAACUGCAACUAAAACUGUUUUUCUUGAGUGCUGGAGAGGAAAGUGGAAUUCCUAGUGUAGCGGUUAAAUGCGUAGAUAUUAGGAAGAAUACCAGUGGCGAAGGCGACUUUCUGGACAGUAACUGACAUUGAGGCACGAAAGUGUGGGGAGCAAACAGGAUUAGAUACCCUGGUAGUCCACACCGUAAACGAUGAAUACUAGAUGUAGGGUAUAUUAUGUACUCUGUGUCGACGCAAACGCAGUAAGUAUUCCACCUGGGGAGUACGGCCGCAAGGUUGAAACUCAAAGGAAUUGACGGGGGCCCGCACAAGCAGUGGAGUAUGUGGUUUAAUUCGAAGAAACGCGAAGAACCUUACCAAGGCUUGACAUAUACAGGAAUACAUUAGAAAUAAUGUAGUCU
rnacentral:rRNA from 1 species